rnacentral:lncRNA from 1 species
AUGACCCGGUCUCAGGAAUUCCUUUAUAACAAUGCAAAAGGACUAACACAGCAGAGUCAUCCUCCUCUUCACCAACACAGCAUCAAGGCUGGCUUCUCCCUCCCUGGACAUCCUCUUCCCUGCUCAAACCCCACCGUGGCUGUGAAGUAUUAACUUGACGACACUGUGCUCUUUGACUCAGCUUUUAAACUUUCCUCCAGUGAAACCAGAACUGGCAAACACAGCUACACUUUUCUUGUACCAUGCUUUACCUGUAUUGCCAACCUGCUGAU